GUGAAAACUCACCUUAUUUCCAGUGCUGUUCGGGUCUGCCAAUCCUGGCCCCGCCCCCGAUCCGCUACCUUGGUGACAUUAGAAGGAAGCGUGAUGGGGUCAGGGCCAAACGCAGAUUUAUCCAAUCGGCAUCUCCUCAUAGAGAUGCAUUGAAUCAAUGCAUCUCUAUGAGAAAAAUUAAGCUUCCCCAUGCAGAGCAUGGAGACGCUGAACGGCCGUGCUGCCUACUGUGCAGCACUGCCCCACGAAGUGCCUCCAGUGGCCAUCUGAGGAGUGGCCACUUGGAGGUGUCCCUAGGGGGCAAUGUAAACAUUGCCUUUUCUCUGAAAAGGAAGUGUUUGCAUUAAAAUCACUGAAGGCAAUGAUUAUACUCAACAUUAAGCUGUAGUUAUUCUGGUGACUAUAGUGUCCCUUUAAAUGCAUAAUACUUGUCUGUCUUAAAAUCAUGACUUUCCGUCACAAAUUAGUAAAAGCCCUUAUUUAAACUGUGCAAUGUGUUCUCAUGCUGGACAAUAUGAAAAUAGACAAAAUCAGAUGUCUAGUUCACAUUGGGUGCAUAUUUAUUAAUAUCCUCAACCCUUUCUCUUCUCUUCAUAUUCUUUAUGUCCGUAUCUCAUUCUAGUUAGUGCUUCUAUGGAAACAGCAGUUGUACUACAAGACCUGACACACACAAUUCCCUUGAAACAAGGGGGGGAAAAAUGUACCAUAUCAAGUAUUCAUCUUUUUUUGAAUUUUUUUUUUUAGGCCCCGUGAACUGAUGAAAGCAAGAGUAUAAAUCACUUAACUAUUCUUCAUUCUGGUUCAGAAGAAUUAAAGGAAAUACUUUAUUUUCCUCACAGGAUGCUUUUACCAUAUUGUUUUUUGCGGUGUUAAAUUAGGUUCGAGAUCUGAAAACACAUUGUAAUGUAAAUGUCAAAAAAGCUGCAUCAAAUGUCAGUUCAAUAAACAUUUAAAUGAGUUAUGAGUGGAUUGAGCUAGUCUGCUGUUGCAUUUUAUACAAAGAAAUAUGUAAGUAGUAAAAUUGGUUUAUAUUUUUGGUACGUUUAAGGAACAGUAUAUGACAUUUAUGGUUUGGCGUGCAAAAAUUCAGUGUUAAGAGUUUGUUUGCAAUAAGAUAUAUCUGUUUGUAUGAAUAAAGUUUAUCAUAAAAUUUAACGACUGGCUGUGAAAUCUCAAAAACAGAAAAAUAAAAAUGGC